GGAGAAGCCAAUCAGGAGAAAUGAAGGCAUUCGUGUUGAUGAUAGUCGGUUACUAUACAUCUACUAUAUUGGACAAAUGUGUAAUAUAUCUAUUAGGAAUGGAAGACUGAGUGAAGAGAAUCAACUGGCAAAAGAGAUUCAUUCUACAUACUAACAUAUGGCCCCGAGUCAGGGAAAAGCUUUCGAAACCUUUUCUGAAUAACAGUGCCCUCUGUUCAUGGACAGAACCAGCAUCGGACUUGGGAGGAAAAGGCACACACAGAAGCCUGAUGCUGUGGGAAAUCCUGCUCACACAGACAGAAAGCAAGCAAGAGUCUCCAGUGGACUUGCUAACGUGUUCUUAUAAAUCUAUAAUCCUGCCACCACUCCCCCCAAUAUAUCCACCAUGAUGUUCAUAGAUAGUAAAAUGAAUGGUUUUUC
ensembl:lncRNA